CCAAAAGAGAGACCAUUGAAUAAACAAUCCUCAUCUGUCUCCCACUCCAUCCUCAUCUGUUUCCCACGCCAUCCUCAUCCUCAUCUGUCUCCCCUUUUGUGCAUUAUUUUUAUCUUUUGUUCAUCCUCAUCUGUCUCCCAUCCCACGCAUGCCUUCUUUUAUCUUUUGUUCUUUUUUCUGCCCAACGGCUUCUUUUAAAACUCAAGAUUUCUCAAAUAAUUCUCUCCCAAACACCUCUCAUCUCAGCUAUCAAAUCCGUCCGUCAGCCCUGUUCACAGAUCCAAAGCAUCAACUUCCUAAGCUCAAAUCGAAAUUCUCCCUCUAUCAAACUUGUUCCUCUUCAUCUCUACUAUAACAUGUCAAAAAAUUAGCCCAAUCGAAGAAAUUUAGACACCUGAAAUGCAGUUUCAGUAUGUGCAAUAUAGAUCAAUUGAAAUGAAGGCUCUGCAAGAUUGAAGAGGUUUAAAACAACUUAAGCAUAAACCAGGUUGUAUUAUUAUUUUUUAUUGCUUAAAUUUAGUUUUUUUUCAUUUGCUGGUUGGUUGGUUUGGUUGUGUUUCGUUGCUUUGCUGGUUGUGUUUGGUGUGGUGUGUGUUUAUUUUGUUCAUUUGUUGUCUGUCACUUUCUAGAUUUCAGAGUUGCAGUAACAAAAAUGGUUAGGAAACAUGAAUCUGGAAG